rnacentral:lncRNA from 1 species
GCAAGACCUAGCAAUCCUAAGGUUUCUUCUGUGGUAUUUUACAUUUGGGCUUGUAAGACAAUUCACAAGAAGUGGCUGGAUCUCACACACAUUUGGAAAGGUAAGUUUUAAUUUUCUUAAAACUUGUUUUAAAAAGUUGCAUAAAAUAAAUUUAUUUGUAAUGA